rnacentral:rRNA from 1 species
GAUGAACGCUGGCGGCGUGCCUAAUACAUGCAAGUCGAGCGAACAGACGAGGAGCUUGCUCCUCUGACGUUAGCGGCGGACGGGUGAGUAACACGUGGAUAACCUACCUAUAAGACUGGGAUAACUUCGGGAAACCGGAGCUAAUACCGGAUAAUAUAUUGAACCGCAUGGUUCAAUAGUGAAAGACGGUUUUGCUGUCACUUAUAGAUGGAUCCGCGCCGCAUUAGCUAGUUGGUAAGGUAACGGCUUACCAAGGCAACGAUGCGUAGCCGACCUGAGAGGGUGAUCGGCCACACUAGGACUGAGACACGGCCCAGACUCCUACGGGAGGCAGCAGUAGGGAAUCUUCGGCAAUGGACGGAAGUCUGACCGAGCAACGCCGCGUGAGUGAAGAAGGUUUUCGGAUCGUAAAGCUCUGUUGUAAGAGAAGAACGAGUGUGAGAGUGGAAAGUUCACACUGUGACGGUAUCUUACCAGAAAGGGACGGCUAACUACGUG